UUCGGCCUUAGUGGCGCACGGGUGAGUAACGCGUGGGAACCGGCCCUUGAGUGGGGGAUAGCCUCGGGAAACUGAGGCUAAUACCGCAUAUGCCCUGAGGGGCAAAGACGCAAGUCGCUUGAGGAAGGGCCCGCGCCCGAUUAGGUAGUUGGUGUGGUAAAGGCGCACCAAGCCGACGAUCGGUAGCUGGUCUGAGAGGAUGAUCAGCCACACUGGGACUGAGACACGGCCCAGACUCCUACGGGAGGCAGCAGUGGGGAAUAUUGGACAAUGGGCGCAAGCCUGAUCCAGCCAUGCCGCGUGAGUGAAGAAGGCCUUCGGGUUGUAAAGCUCUUACAGCGGGGACGACGAUGACGGUACCCGCAGAAGAAGCCCCGGCUAACUUCGUGCCAGCAGCCGCGGUAAUACGAAGGGGGCUAGCGUUGU
rnacentral:rRNA from 1 species